CCAAAUGUAGGACAGGACUAGCUACACAGGAUUUUUUCUCAUAAUAGGAUUUUAUAUAUAAUCCUAUAGAAUCAAAGCCUAUAUCUUAUCAUAAAUUUUAUCCUAACGUUAUAAAACAUCCAAAUAGGCCUUUAGGUUCUAUUUCGAUGACUGGACCCAAAAUCCCAUAGAAAUUAUAGGUUUGGAUCAAUAUAACUACCUAAAUAAUGUCUAACCC
rnacentral:lncRNA from 1 species